rnacentral:rRNA from 1 species
GACGAACGCUGGCGGCGUGCCUAAUACAUGCAAGUAGAACGCACAGUUUAUACCGUAGCUUGCUACACCAUAGACUGUGAGUUGCAACGGGGGAGUAACGCGUAGGUAACCUGCCUGGGAGCGGGGGAUAACCAUUGGAAACGAUAGCUAAUACCGCAUAAUAUUGAUUAUUGCAUGAAAAAUUAUUGAAAGAUGCCAUUGCAUCACUUCCAGAUGGACCUGCGUUGUAUUAGCUAGUAGGGGAGGUAACGGCUCACCUAGGCGACGAUACAUAGCCGACCUGAGAGGGUGAUCGGCCACACUGGGACUGAGAUACGGCCCAGACUCCUACGGGAGGCAGCAGUAGGGAAUCUUCGGCAAUGGACGAAAGUCUGACCGAGCAACGCCGCGUGAGUGAAGAAGGUUUUCGGAUCGUAAAGCUCUGUUGUAAGAGAAGAACGGGUGUGAGAGUGGAAAGUUCACACUGUGACGGUAUCUUACCAGAAAGGGACGGCUAACUACGUG